GACGAACGCUGGCGGCGUGCUUAACACAUGCAAGUCGAACGGAAAGGCCUCUUUCGGGGGGUACUCGAGUGGCGAACGGGUGAGUAACACGUGAGUAACCUGCCCUUGACUUUGGGAUAACUUCAGGAAACUGGGGCUAAUACCGGAUAGGAGCUCCUGCUGCAUGGUGGGGGUUGGACAGUUUCGGCGGUUGGGGAUGGACUCGCGGCUUAUCAGCUUGUUGGUGGGGUAGUGGCUUACCAAGGCUUUGACGGGUAGCCGGCCUGAGAGGGUGACCGGCCACAUUGGGACUGAGAUACGGCCCAGACUCCUACGGGAGGCAGCAGUGGGGAAUAUUGCACAAUGGGUGGAAGCCUGAUGCAGCAACGCCGUGUGCGGGAUGACGGCCUUCGGGUUGGAAACCGCUUUCGCUCAUGACGAAGCUUUGUGUGACGGUAGUGGGUAAAGAAGCACCGGCUAACUACGUG
rnacentral:rRNA from 1 species